rnacentral:rRNA from 1 species
CUUUUACUCGGAGUUUUGUGGAACUUAAGUGUUUUUUUACAAUUCGAAGAUGGGUUUGAGAGACACCUGGCAGGGGAGUAUAACGCCUACAAGUUAUAUAAAAACCUAUGGCGGCCUAAUCAGUCGUUUAAGCAUUUUAACCCCAGUCGUCAAUGACGUUUCAUUUUCGAAAUGUGUAAUUGAAAACCAAAUACAACUUUAGACAAUGGAUCUCUUGGCUCACGCAUCGAUGAAGAACGUAGCGAAUUGCGAUAAUUAUUGUGAAUUGCAGAUUUAGUGAAUCAUCGAGUCUUUGAACGCAUAUUGCACCCUCUGGUAUUCCGGAGGGCAUGCUUGUUUGAGAACCGUUACAUCUCUCACAAACUGGACCUGAUUUCGGUCAGGAAAGGCAAGUGGAUCUGGCCGUUCCCUGCAAUCUUUUUAUUUAAGAUAAAUGGGAUGUGCUGAAAUUCAGUGAUCGGAGCUUGCGUGCUUAAAGGGUUUUCUCUCUAACAGUACCGUACUCUUUGAUAACCGACGUAGAUUAAUUGGGUACUUGUUUACCUUUUCUCAGCGUCCGGAAAAUCGAGUCGUGAAACUUGAAAGAAUUCAUCCCCAAACCUUUUCGCUAUGCCUAUAAGGUAACCGCGAGUAUACGGCUCAUACCUGAACAUGCCAGGCGAUCUAUAUACCGAAACUGUCCCCGUACUUGCUUGCGAGUGGUUGGAUGUUUCGAUGCAAUAGGUUGUACACCUGAUACUUUGGUCUCAAAUCAAGCAAGACGACCCGCUGAACUUAAGCAUAUCAAUAAGCGGAGGAAAAGAAAGCAACAGGGAUUCCCUUAGUAACGGCGAGUGAAGCGGGAAAAGCUCAAAUUUAAAAUCUCCUAGGUUCCCUAGGCGAAUUGUAGUUUCAAGAAGCGUUUUCUGAGGUGGCCUCGGUCCAAGUCUGCUGGAAGGCAGCGCCAUAGAGGGUGAUAGCCCCGUAGGAUCCUGAACCAUUUCUUUAUGAUUGCGUCUUCAAAGAGUCGUACAGUUUGAGAAUGCUGUGCUAAAUGGGAGGUAAAUAUCUUCUAAAGCUAAAUAUUGGCGUGAGACCGAUAGCGAACAAGUACCGUGAGGGAAAGAUGAAAAGAACUUUGAAAAGAGAGUUAAAUAGUACGUGAAAUUGUCUAAAGUGAAACGUUUGAAACUAGUAUCGGGAGAUUACGGACAACCGCAAGGUGCAUUCGUAGUUUCCUGUGCCAGCGACAGUUUUGUUUGCAGUAAAUGCUCCUGGGAAUGUAGCUUCGGUGUUAUAGCUCAGGGUGAGUGCUGUGGAUGGGACUGAUGAUCGCCACUGCCUUGGGGAAGCAGCUGCCUCGAAGCGAGCGAUGCUAGACAACUUGUUGACUAGUGUCGUCUUUCGUUAGGGAUCGGUUGUGUACCACUUUCAGUGUAGGUUGCUGGUGAAAUAGUUUUAAGCGACCCGUCUUGAAACACGGACC